ACUUGGGGGCGGCGCGCCGGGGCCUGGCGCUCGGUCGGCGGGUGCUGCCGCUUUAAGCGGGGGCGGGACUGCGCGCGGCCGAGCGGUUGCGACGAGGGCUCGGCUGGGGGUCGCCGGGGUCGCGGGCCGGGCCUGCAGGAGCCGGGCCGCCGAGGUCGGGGCUGGUUGAACUCAUGGACCUGAUACUUUUCUCUUGAGAAGCAAACCAGCCCAAAAGAAAAAUGGCGUUUGUUGCAACACAGGGGGCCACGGUGGUUGACCAGACCACUUUGAUGAAAAAGUACCUUCAGUUUGUGGCAGCUCUCACAGAUGUGAAUACACCUGAUGAAACAAAGUUGAAAAUGAUGCAAGAAGUUAGUGAAAAUUUUGAGAAUGUCACGUCAUCUCCUCAGUAUUCUACAUUCCUAGAACAUAUCAUCCCUCGAUUCCUUACAUUUCUCCAAGAUGGAGAAGUUCAGUUUCUUCAGGAGAAACCAGCACAGCAACUGCGGAAGCUCGUACUUGAAAUAAUUCAUAGAAUACCAACCAACGAACAUCUUCGUCCUCACACAAAAAAUGUUUUGUCUGUGAUGUUUCGCUUUUUAGAGACGGAAAAUGAAGAAAAUGUUCUUAUUUGUCUAAGAAUAAUUAUUGAGCUACACAAACAGUUCAGGCCACCGAUCACACAAGAAAUUCAUCAUUUUCUGGAUUUUGUGAAACAGAUUUACAAGGAGCUUCCAAAAGUAGUGAACCGCUACUUUGAGAACCCUCAAGUGAUCCCCGAGAACACAGUGCCUCCCCCAGAAAUGGUUGGUAUGAUAACAACGAUUGCUGUGAAAGUCAACCCGGAGCGUGAAGACAGUGAGACUCGAACACAUUCCAUCAUUCCGAGGGGAUCACUUUCUCUGAAAGUGUUGGCAGAAUUGCCCAUUAUUGUUGUUUUAAUGUAUCAGCUCUACAAACUGAACAUCCACAAUGUUGUUGCUGAGUUUGUGCCCUUGAUCAUGAACACCAUUGCCAUUCAGGUGUCUGCACAAGCGAGGCAACAUAAGCUUUACAACAAGGAGUUGUAUGCUGACUUCAUUGCUGCUCAGAUUAAAACAUUGUCAUUUUUAGCUUACAUUAUCAGGAUUUACCAGGAGUUGGUGACUAAGUAUUCUCAGCAGAUGGUGAAAGGAAUGCUCCAGUUACUUUCAAAUUGUCCAGCAGAGACUGCACACCUCAGAAAGGAGCUUCUGAUUGCUGCCAAACACAUCCUCACCACAGAGCUGAGAAACCAGUUCAUUCCUUGCAUGGACAAGCUGUUUGAUGAAUCCAUACUAAUUGGCUCAGGAUAUACUGCCAGAGAGACUCUAAGGCCCCUCGCCUACAGCACGCUGGCCGACCUCGUGCACCAUGUCCGCCAGCACCUGCCCCUCAGCGACCUCUCCCUCGCCGUCCAGCUCUUCGCCAAGAACAUCGACGAUGAGUCCCUGCCCAGCAGCAUCCAGACCAUGUCCUGCAAGCUCCUGCUGAACCUGGUGGACUGCAUCCGUUCCAAGAGCGAGCAGGAGAGUGGCAAUGGGAGAGACGUCCUGAUGCGGAUGCUGGAGGUUUUCGUUCUCAAAUUCCACACAAUUGCUCGGUACCAGCUCUCUGCCAUUUUUAAGAAGUGUAAGCCUCAGUCAGAACUUGGAGCCGUGGAAGCAGCUCUGCCUGGGGUGCCCACUGCCCCUGCAGCUCCUGGCCCUGCUCCCUCCCCAGCCCCUGUCCCUGCCCCACCUCCACCCCCGCCCCCACCCCCACCUGCCACCCCUGUGACCCCGGCCCCCGUGCCUCCCUUCGAGAAGCAAGGAGAAAAGGACAAGGAAGACAAGCAGACAUUCCAAGUCACAGACUGUCGAAGUUUGGUCAAAACCUUGGUGUGUGGUGUCAAGACAAUCACGUGGGGCAUAACAUCAUGCAAAGCACCUGGUGAAGCUCAGUUCAUUCCCAACAAGCAGUUACAACCCAAAGAGACACAGAUUUACAUCAAACUUGUGAAAUAUGCAAUGCAAGCUUUAGAUAUUUAUCAGGUCCAGAUAGCAGGAAAUGGACAGACAUACAUCCGCGUGGCCAACUGCCAGACUGUGAGAAUGAAAGAGGAGAAGGAGGUAUUGGAGCAUUUCGCUGGUGUGUUCACAAUGAUGAACCCCUUAACGUUCAAAGAAAUCUUCCAAACUACGGUCCCUUAUAUGGUGGAGAGAAUCUCAAAAAAUUAUGCUCUUCAGAUUGUUGCCAAUUCCUUCUUGGCAAAUCCUACUACCUCUGCUCUGUUUGCUACCAUUCUGGUGGAAUAUCUCCUUGAUCGCCUUCCAGAAAUGGGCUCCAACGUGGAGCUCUCCAACCUGUACCUCAAGCUGUUUAAGCUGGUCUUUGGCUCUGUCUCCCUCUUUGCAGCUGAAAAUGAACAAAUGCUGAAGCCUCACUUGCACAAGAUUGUGAACAGCUCUAUGGAGCUCGCGCAGACUGCCAAGGAACCCUACAACUACUUCUUGCUGCUACGGGCGCUGUUUCGCUCUAUUGGUGGAGGUAGCCACGAUCUCUUGUAUCAGGAGUUCUUGCCUCUCCUUCCAAACCUCCUGCAAGGGCUGAACAUGCUUCAGAGUGGCCUGCACAAGCAGCACAUGAAGGACCUCUUUGUGGAGCUGUGUCUCACCGUCCCCGUGCGGCUGAGCUCGCUCUUGCCGUACCUGCCCAUGCUUAUGGAUCCCUUGGUGUCUGCACUCAAUGGGUCUCAGACAUUGGUCAGCCAAGGCCUCAGGACGCUGGAGCUGUGUGUGGACAACCUGCAGCCCGACUUCCUCUAUGACCACAUCCAGCCGGUGCGCGCAGAGCUCAUGCAGGCUCUGUGGCGCACCUUACGCAACCCUGCUGACAGCAUCUCCCACGUGGCCUACCGUGUGCUCGGUAAGUUUGGCGGCAGUAACAGGAAGAUGCUGAAGGAGUCGCAGAAGCUGCACUACGUUGUGACCGAGGUUCAGGGCCCCAGCAUCACUGUGGAGUUUUCCGACUGCAAAGCUUCUCUCCAGCUCCCCAUGGAGAAGGCCAUUGAAACUGCUCUGGACUGCCUGAAAAGCGCCAACACUGAGCCCUACUACCGGAGGCAGGCGUGGGAAGUGAUCAAAUGCUUCCUGGUGGCCAUGAUGAGCCUGGAGGACAACAAGCACGCACUCUACCAGCUCCUGGCACACCCCAACUUUACAGAAAAGACCAUCCCCAAUGUUAUCAUCUCACAUCGCUACAAAGCCCAGGACACUCCAGCCAGGAAGACUUUUGAGCAGGCCCUGACAGGUGCCUUCAUGUCUGCUGUCAUUAAGGACCUGCGGCCCAGCGCCCUGCCCUUCGUCGCCAGCUUGAUCCGCCACUAUACGAUGGUGGCAGUCGCCCAGCAGUGUGGCCCUUUCUUGCUGCCUUGCUACCAGGUGGGCAGCCAGCCCAGCACAGCCAUGUUUCACAGUGAAGAAAAUGGCUCGAAAGGAAUGGAUCCUUUGGUUCUCAUUGACGCAAUUGCUAUUUGUAUGGCAUAUGAAGAAAAGGAGCUUUGCAAAAUCGGGGAGGUGGCCCUAGCUGUGAUAUUUGAUGUUGCAAGUAUCAUCCUGGGCUCCAAGGAGAGGGCCUGCCAGCUGCCCCUGUUUUCUUAUAUCGUGGAGCGCCUGUGUGCAUGUUGUUAUGAACAGGCGUGGUAUGCAAAGCUGGGGGGUGUGGUGUCUAUUAAGUUUCUCAUGGAGCGGCUGCCUCUCACUUGGGUUCUCCAGAACCAGCAGACAUUCCUGAAAGCACUUCUCUUUGUCAUGAUGGACUUAACUGGAGAGGUUUCCAAUGGGGCAGUCGCCAUGGCAAAGACCACCCUGGAGCAGCUUCUGAUGCGGUGCGCAACGCCUUUAAAAGACGAGGAGAGAGCCGAAGAGAUCGUGGCUGCCCAGGAAAAGUCUUUCCACCAUGUGACACACGACUUGGUUCGAGAAGUCACCUCUCCAAACUCCACUGUGAGGAAACAGGCCAUGCAUUCGCUGCAGGUGUUGGCCCAGGUCACUGGGAAGAGUGUCACGGUGAUCAUGGAACCCCACAAAGAGGUCCUGCAGGAUAUGGUCCCCCCUAAGAAGCACCUGCUCCGACACCAGCCUGCCAAUGCACAGAUUGGCCUGAUGGAGGGGAACACGUUCUGUACCACGUUGCAGCCCAGGCUCUUCACAAUGGACCUUAACGUGGUGGAGCAUAAGGUGUUCUACACAGAGCUGUUGAAUUUGUGUGAGGCUGAAGACUCAGCUUUAACAAAACUGCCCUGUUAUAAAAGCCUUCCAUCACUCGUACCUUUACGAAUUGCGGCAUUAAAUGCACUUGCUGCCUGCAAUUACCUUCCACAGUCCAGGGAGAAAAUCAUCGCUGCACUCUUCAAAGCCCUGAAUUCCACCAAUAGUGAGCUCCAAGAGGCUGGAGAAGCCUGUAUGAGAAAGUUUUUAGAAGGUGCUACCAUAGAAGUCGAUCAAAUCCACACACAUAUGCGACCUUUGCUGAUGAUGCUGGGAGAUUACCGGAGCUUGACGCUGAAUGUUGUGAAUCGCCUGACUUCGGUCACGAGGCUCUUCCCAAAUUCCUUCAAUGAUAAAUUUUGUGAUCAGAUGAUGCAACAUCUGCGCAAGUGGAUGGAAGUGGUGGUGAUCACCCACAAAGGGGGCCAGAGGAGCGACGGAAACGAAAGCAUUUCCGAGUGCGGGAGAUGUCCCUUGUCUCCAUUCUGUCAGUUUGAGCCUGCCAUGGAAGGGGUAGAGGAAAUGAAGAUUUGCUCAGCAAUUAUAAACCUUUUUCAUCUGAUCCCGGCUGCUCCUCAGACACUGGUGAAGCCUUUGCUAGAGGUUGUCAUGAAAACGGAGCGGGCGAUGCUGAUCGAGGCGGGGAGUCCAUUCCGAGAGCCCCUGAUCAAGUUCCUGACUCGACAUCCCUCGCAGACAGUGGAGCUGUUCAUGAUGGAAGCCACACUGAACGAUCCCCAGUGGAGCAGAAUGUUUAUGAGUUUUUUAAAACACAAAGAUGCCAGACCUCUGCGGGAUGUGCUGGCUGCCAACCCCAACAGGUUCAUCACCCUGCUGCUGCCGGGGGGUGCCCAGACGGCCGUGCGCCCCGGUUCGCCCAGCACCAGCACCAUGCGCCUGGACCUCCAGUUCCAGGCCAUCAAGAUCAUAAGCAUUAUAGUGAAAAACGAUGACUCCUGGCUGGCCAGCCAGCACUCUCUGGUGAGCCAGUUGCGACGUGUGUGGGUGAGUGAGAACUUCCAAGAGAGGCACCGCAAGGAGAACAUGGCAGCCACCAACUGGAAGGAGCCCAAGCUGCUGGCCUACUGCCUGCUGAACUACUGCAAAAGGAAUUACGGAGAUAUAGAAUUGCUGUUCCAGCUGCUCCGAGCCUUUACUGGUCGUUUUCUCUGCAACAUGACAUUCUUAAAAGAGUAUAUGGAGGAAGAGAUUCCCAAAAAUUACAGCAUUGCUCAGAAACGUGCCCUGUUCUUUCGCUUUGUAGACUUCAACGACCCCAACUUCGGAGAUGAAUUAAAAGCUAAAGUUCUGCAGCAUAUCUUGAAUCCUGCUUUCUUGUACAGCUUUGAGAAGGGGGAAGGAGAGCAGCUCUUGGGACCUCCCAAUCCAGAAGGAGAUAACCCAGAAAGCAUCACCAGUGUGUUUAUUACCAAGGUCCUGGACCCCGAGAAGCAGGCGGACAUGCUGGACUCGCUGCGGAUCUACCUGCUGCAGUACGCCACGCUGCUGGUGGAGCACGCCCCCCACCACAUCCAUGACAACAACAAGAACCGCAACAGCAAGCUGCGCCGCCUCAUGACCUUCGCCUGGCCCUGCCUGCUCUCCAAGGCCUGCGUGGACCCGGCCUGCAAGUACAGCGGACACUUGCUCCUGGCGCACAUUAUCGCCAAAUUCGCCAUACACAAGAAGAUCGUCCUGCAGGUUUUUCAUAGUCUCCUCAAGGCUCAUGCAAUGGAAGCUCGAGCGAUCGUCAGACAGGCGAUGGCCAUUCUGACCCCGGCGGUGCCGGCCAGGAUGGAGGACGGGCACCAGAUGCUGACCCACUGGACCCGGAAGAUCAUUGUGGAGGAGGGGCACACCGUCCCGCAGCUGGUCCACAUUCUGCACCUGAUAGUGCAACACUUCAAGGUAUACUACCCGGUACGGCACCACUUGGUGCAGCACAUGGUGAGCGCCAUGCAGAGGCUGGGCUUCACGCCCAGUGUCACCAUCGAGCAGAGGCGGCUGGCCGUGGACCUGUCUGAAGUCGUCAUCAAGUGGGAGCUGCAGAGGAUCAAGGACCAGCAGCCGGAUUCAGAUAUGGACCCAAAUUCCAGUGGAGAAGGAGUCAAUUCUGUCUCAUCCUCCAUUAAGAGAGGCCUGUCCGUGGAUUCUGCCCAGGAAGUGAAACGCUUUAGGACGGCCACCGGAGCCAUCAGUGCAGUCUUUGGGAGGAGCCAGUCGCUACCUGGAGCAGACUCUCUCCUCGCCAAGCCCAUUGACAAGCAGCACACAGACACUGUGGUGAACUUCCUUAUCCGCGUGGCCUGUCAGGUUAAUGACAACACCAACACAGCGGGGUCCCCUGGGGAGGUGCUCUCUCGCCGGUGUGUGAACCUUCUGAAGACUGCGUUGCGGCCAGACAUGUGGCCCAAGUCCGAACUCAAGCUGCAGUGGUUCGACAAGCUGCUGAUGACUGUGGAGCAGCCAAACCAAGUGAACUAUGGGAAUAUCUGCACGGGCCUAGAAGUGCUGAGCUUCCUGCUAACUGUCCUCCAGUCCCCAGCCAUCCUCAGUAGCUUCAAACCUCUGCAGCGUGGAAUUGCCGCCUGCAUGACAUGUGGAAACACCAAGGUGUUGCGAGCCGUCCACAGCCUUCUCUCGCGCCUGAUGAGCAUUUUCCCAACAGAGCCGAGUACUUCCAGUGUGGCCUCCAAAUAUGAAGAGCUGGAGUGCCUCUACGCAGCCGUCGGAAAGGUCAUCUAUGAAGGGCUCACCAACUACGAGAAGGCCACCAAUGCCAAUCCCUCCCAGCUCUUCGGGACCCUUAUGAUCCUCAAGUCUGCCUGCAGCAACAACCCCAGCUACAUAGACAGGCUGAUCUCCGUCUUUAUGCGCUCCCUUCAGAAGAUGGUCCGGGAGCAUUUAAACCCUCAGGCAGCGUCAGGAAGCACCGAAGCCACCUCAGGUACAAGCGAGCUGGUGAUGCUGAGUCUGGAGCUGGUGAAGACGCGCCUGGCAGUGAUGAGCAUGGAGAUGCGGAAGAACUUCAUCCAGGCCAUCCUGACAUCCCUCAUCGAAAAAUCACCAGAUGCCAAAAUCCUCCGGGCUGUGGUCAAAAUCGUGGAAGAAUGGGUCAAGAAUAACUCCCCAAUGGCAGCCAAUCAGACACCUACACUCCGGGAGAAGUCCAUUUUGCUUGUGAAGAUGAUGACUUACAUAGAAAAACGCUUUCCGGAAGACCUUGAAUUAAAUGCCCAGUUUUUAGAUCUUGUUAACUAUGUCUACAGGGAUGAGACCCUCUCUGGCAGCGAGCUGACGGCGAAACUUGAGCCUGCCUUUCUCUCUGGGCUGCGCUGUGCCCAGCCACUCAUCAGGGCAAAGUUUUUCGAGGUUUUUGACAACUCCAUGAAACGUCGUGUCUACGAGCGCCUGCUCUAUGUGACCUGUUCGCAGAACUGGGAAGCCAUGGGGAACCACUUCUGGAUCAAGCAGUGCAUUGAGCUGCUUCUGGCCGUGUGUGAGAAGAGCACCCCCAUUGGCACCAGCUGCCAAGGAGCCAUGCUCCCGUCCAUCACCAACGUCAUCAACCUGGCCGAUAGCCACGACCGUGCCGCCUUCGCCAUGGUCACACAUGUCAAGCAGGAGCCCCGGGAGCGGGAGAACAGCGAGUCCAAAGAGGAGGAUGUAGAGAUAGACAUCGAACUAGCUCCUGGGGAUCAGACCAGCACGCCCAAAACCAAAGAACUUUCAGAAAAGGACAUUGGAAACCAGCUGCACAUGCUAACCAACAGGCACGACAAGUUUCUGGACACUCUCCGAGAGGUGAAGACUGGAGCGCUGCUCAGCGCUUUCGUUCAGCUGUGCCACAUUUCCACGACGCUGGCAGAGAAGACGUGGGUCCAGCUUUUCCCCAGAUUGUGGAAGAUCCUCUCUGACAGACAGCAGCAUGCACUCGCGGGCGAGAUAAGUCCAUUUCUGUGCAGCGGCAGUCACCAGGUGCAGCGGGACUGCCAGCCCAGCGCGCUGAACUGCUUUGUGGAAGCCAUGUCCCAGUGCGUGCCGCCAAUCCCCAUCCGACCCUGCGUCCUGAAGUACCUGGGGAAGACACACAACCUCUGGUUCCGGUCCACGCUGAUGCUGGAGCACCAGGCUUUUGAAAAGGGUCUGAGUCUUCAGAUUAAGCCGAAGCAAACAACGGAGUUUUAUGAGCAGGAGAGCAUCACCCCGCCACAGCAGGAGAUACUGGAUUCCCUUGCGGAGCUUUACUCCCUGUUACAAGAGGAAGAUAUGUGGGCUGGUCUGUGGCAGAAGCGGUGCAAGUACUCGGAGACAGCGACUGCGAUUGCUUACGAGCAGCACGGGUUCUUUGAGCAGGCACAAGAAUCCUAUGAAAAGGCAAUGGAUAAAGCCAAAAAAGAACAUGAGAGGAGUAACGCCUCCCCUGCUAUUUUCCCUGAAUACCAGCUCUGGGAAGACCACUGGAUUCGAUGCUCCAAGGAAUUGAACCAGUGGGAAGCCCUGACGGAGUACGGCCAGUCCAAAGGCCACAUCAACCCCUACCUCGUCCUGGAGUGCGCCUGGCGGGUGUCCAACUGGACUGCCAUGAAGGAGGCGCUGGUGCAGGUGGAAGUGAGCUGUCCGAAGGAGAUGGCCUGGAAGGUGAACAUGUACCGCGGAUACCUGGCCAUCUGCCACCCCGAGGAGCAGCAGCUCAGCUUCAUCGAGCGCCUGGUGGAGAUGGCCAGCAGCCUGGCCAUCCGCGAGUGGCGGCGGCUGCCCCACGUAGUGUCCCACGUGCACACGCCUCUCCUACAGGCAGCCCAGCAAAUCAUCGAACUCCAGGAAGCUGCACAAAUCAACGCAGGCUUACAGCCGACCAACCUGGGAAGGAACAACAGCCUGCACGACAUGAAGACGGUGGUGAAGACCUGGAGGAACCGACUGCCCAUCGUGUCUGACGACUUGUCCCACUGGAGCAGCAUCUUCAUGUGGAGGCAGCAUCAUUACCAGGGUAAACCGACCUGGUCCGGCAUGCAUUCAUCAUCGAUUGUAACUGCCUAUGAGAAUAGCUCUCAGCAUGAUCCCAGUUCAAAUAACGCUAUGCUUGGGGUUCAUGCAUCAGCUUCAGCGAUCAUCCAGUAUGGAAAAAUCGCCCGGAAACAAGGACUGGUCAAUGUAGCACUGGAUAUAUUAAGUCGGAUUCAUACUAUUCCAACUGUUCCUAUCGUGGAUUGCUUCCAGAAGAUUCGACAGCAAGUUAAAUGCUACCUCCAGCUGGCAGGCGUCAUGGGCAAAAACGAGUGCAUGCAGGGCCUUGAAGUUAUUGAAUCUACAAAUUUAAAAUACUUCACAAAAGAGAUGACAGCCGAAUUUUAUGCACUGAAGGGAAUGUUCUUGGCUCAGAUCAACAAGUCCGAGGAGGCAAACAAAGCCUUCUCUGCAGCUGUGCAGAUGCACGAUGUGCUGGUGAAAGCCUGGGCCAUGUGGGGCGACUACCUGGAGAACAUCUUCGUGAAGGAGCGGCAGCUGCACCUGGGCGUGUCUGCCAUCACCUGCUACCUGCACGCCUGCCGGCAUCAGAACGAGAGCAAAUCGAGGAAAUACUUAGCCAAGGUGCUGUGGCUUUUGAGUUUUGAUGAUGACAAAAACACUUUGGCAGAUGCCGUCGACAAGUACUGCAUUGGUGUGCCACCCAUCCAGUGGCUGGCCUGGAUCCCACAGCUGCUCACCUGCCUGGUUGGCUCGGAGGGAAAGCUGCUCUUGAACCUCAUUAGCCAGGUUGGACGCGUGUAUCCCCAAGCGGUCUACUUUCCCAUCCGGACCCUGUACCUGACCCUGAAAAUAGAACAGCGGGAACGCUACAAGAGCGAUUCUGGACAGCAGCAGCCAAGUUCAGUGGGUAACCAGUCCCAUUCUGCAUCAGAUCCAGGGCCCAUAAGAGCAACAGCACCCAUGUGGCGCUGCAGCCGAAUCAUGCACAUGCAGCGAGAGCUCCACCCCACCCUUCUGUCUUCCCUGGAAGGCAUCGUCGAUCAGAUGGUCUGGUUCAGAGAAAAUUGGCAUGAAGAGGUUCUCAGGCAGCUCCAACAGGGCCUGGCGAAAUGUUACUCCGUGGCGUUUGAGAAAAGUGGAGCGGUGUCCGAUGCUAAAAUCACCCCCCACACUCUCAAUUUUGUGAAGAAGUUGGUGAGCACGUUUGGGGUGGGCCUGGAGAAUGUGUCCAACGUCUCGACCAUGUUCUCCAGCGCAGCCUCUGAGUCUCUGGCCCGGCGGGCGCAGGCCACUGCACAAGACCCUGUCUUUCAGAAGCUGAAAGGCCAGUUCACAACGGAUUUUGACUUCAGCGUUCCAGGAUCCAUGAAGCUUCAUAAUCUUAUUUCUAAGCUGAAAAAGUGGAUCAAAAUCUUGGAGGCCAAGACCAAGCAACUCCCCAAAUUCUUCCUCAUAGAGGAAAAGUGCCGGUUCUUGAGCAAUUUCUCGGCACAGACAGCUGAAGUGGAAAUUCCCGGGGAGUUUCUGAUGCCAAAGCCAACGCAUUAUUACAUCAAGAUUGCACGGUUCAUGCCCCGGGUAGAGAUUGUGCAGAAGCACAACACUGCAGCCCGGCGGCUGUACAUCCGGGGACACAACGGCAAGAUCUACCCAUACCUCGUCAUGAACGACGCCUGCCUCACAGAGUCACGGCGAGAGGAGCGUGUGUUGCAGCUGCUGCGUCUGCUGAACCCCUGUUUGGAGAAGAGAAAGGAGACCACCAAGAGGCACUUGUUUUUCACAGUGCCCCGGGUUGUGGCGGUUUCCCCACAGAUGCGCCUCGUGGAGGACAACCCCUCUUCACUUUCCCUUGUGGAGAUCUACAAGCAGCGCUGCACCAAGAAGGGCAUCGAGCAUGACAACCCCAUCUCCCGUUACUAUGACCGGCUGGCUACGGUGCAGGCGCGGGGAACCCAAGCCAGCCACCAGGUCCUCCGCGACAUCCUCAAGGAGGUUCAGAGUAACAUGGUGCCGCGCAGCAUGCUCAAGGAGUGGGCGCUGCACACCUUCCCCAAUGCCACGGACUACUGGACGUUCCGGAAGAUGUUCACCAUCCAGCUGGCUCUGAUAGGCUUCGCGGAAUUCGUCCUGCAUUUAAAUAGACUCAACCCCGAGAUGUUACAGAUCGCUCAGGACACUGGCAAACUGAAUGUUGCCUACUUUCGAUUUGACAUAAACGACGCGACUGGAGACCUGGAUGCCAACCGUCCUGUCCCAUUUCGACUCACGCCCAACAUUUCUGAGUUUCUGACCACCAUCGGGGUCUCCGGCCCGUUGACAGCGUCCAUGAUUGCGGUCGCCCGGUGCUUCGCCCAGCCAAACUUUAAGGUGGAUGGCAUUCUGAAAACGGUUCUCCGGGACGAGAUCAUUGCUUGGCACAAAAAAACGCAGGAGGACACGUCCUCUCCUCUCUCGGCCGCCGGGCAGCCAGAGAACAUGGACAGCCAGCAACUGGUGUCCCUGGUUCAGAAAGCCGUCACCGCCAUCAUGACCCGCCUGCACAACCUCGCCCAGUUCGAAGGCGGGGAAAGCAAGGUGAACACCCUGGUGGCCGCGGCAAACAGCCUGGACAAUCUGUGCCGCAUGGACCCCGCCUGGCACCCCUGGCUGUGACUGUGGCCGCCACGGCUACCCGGAAUGUGAAGGGCGCCCCGGGCUCUGAGCCCGCAGCUUUUACGACUUCUCCCUGCCUCGUUCCUUAUAUUCACAGAAGCCCCAUAGUUUCACUGGGUUGCAGUUAUUUUCCUGGUAGUUUGCGUGUGAGAGAGGGAGAAUAUAGUUUUAGAGGAAGCUGAACUAUGACGAUGCUGGGCGAAGCGGUUGGAAAUGGCAGAGCUGAAACUUAUUCCAGGCUUUCAAAAUAAUCUUUUAAGAAGCCAGGAUUCUCCGGUCUGGAAUUUCUGGGACUGCUGCCAUGUAACGUGUGUGUGUGGAGCGUGUGCGGAGUGUACCCGAAGCAUGCCCGGAGGCUCAGCAUGAAGCACUCUGUACCCAGCUCUACCUCCUCAUUGUCCUUCAUCCAGUGUGUACCUUCAGCCAGGCCUGCCCUCGUGUGGGAGGGGCAGUCCCCAAGGAGCACCACGCCAUGAUGUCAGAAACAUCUUCUUCGAGGAAGAUGGCCCUUUACAGGCCCCAGGGGACGGGGGCAGCACGGAGCCCUCUCUGACCUCUGCCGCAGGCCACAGAACUUUCUCCAGCCCUUGACUCUCCUUGCCUUUCAUUUACCCUCCAUUGUUCCAGGCUACCACGGAAUGAUGAUUACAGCUGAGUUUACCCAAAUCCCACCACAGGGUCAAAUGAAAGGGCCUUGACAAGAUGUCCCUUGGCAGCUUGAGAUCGCAGUUGUGUUGCUGGGUUAUGGCCUGGGUACAGGCUGGUUUGCAGUGGGCGGUACUGGCAGCUACCAUCAAGGUCUCUGUGCUGGGCUCCAGCCCUCAGCCCAGAGGGGUGGUUCCCCACUUUAUAGAGAGGGGGUUUCCAGCUCACAGAAGGUGAGAAGCUUGUCCCAGGCCUGGAUUAGCUGUGGAGAAACUGGGAGGGAAGCCCGUCCAGCCUGAUUCCAAGCCCACAUGCUGCUCACAGGUCAAGGCCAAGGGACUGAUUUUUGCCAGUCUGACUGGACUCAAGUUACUUCCCAGUUCCUUGCAGAGAGCUGCCUUUGUAAGACGGUGUCUUGGGUUCUGGAAUGAUGGGAGCCGUGCUUUGCAAAUGAGGAGUGAUUGCGUGCUCAUCUGGCAGCUGGUGGGUGUCCUGCUGGCGUCAGGCCUGAGCGGUGACCGUGCUCCUCUGAUUGUCCUCACUGCGUGUGACAAGGCCUGGGCCACUGUGUGAGUCGUCUUGCGCUCCAUGAAGCCUCGUAUCUGUGCAGAUGUGUGGGUGGCGUUAGCGGGUUGGGGGACAUUUGUCUUUCACACUGGAGAAUGGGAGUCUGGAGCUACUGGUGAGGAAGAGGCCCGGCCUGCUGCCAGGUUCACCCACACCUUCCCCCUGGUUGUUGGGAAAACCAACCUUGGAAUGGCCAAGGCAGGAGAUAGCACCUCCCCAGUGAAGAUCCAGGAGCUCUCAUGAGCUCCACGUGGAAAGAUCAAGGAUCUGGAGUCUGGAGCCCUUCAGGCAGCAACUCAGUGACCAUGAACCUCAGCUCUGUCCACCCGGCACAGCAUUGCUGGGAGCUGGACCCGGGAGGCUGCCGGCUCCAGAGUGAGGAGGGUCCAGACCAUGCAGACAAUAUGCCCUUUUUCUCCAAACACCAUUUCAAGCAAACCCGCAGGUCUCCUCCACGGCUGUCAGCAGCUUCUCGUAGAGCUUCUCAUAGGACUCAUAUGGUGGAAUGUCGAUCCGGUUAAAGCUGAAAAAGGACAAAAGAGAGUCACCGUGUGGGCAGUCCAGCCCUAGGACCAACCUCAAGGCCAAGGACAGGCAGUGAGAAAGACAGGGUCUCGCUAGGUUGCCCAGGCUGCUCUCAAACUCCUGGCCUCAAGUGAACCUCCUGCCUUGCCCUCUCAACGUGCUGGGAGCCACUGUGCCCAAUCAACACACAGUAAAGGGGAAGCUCAUUUCCAGUAUUUGUGCAAAGAAAAAGACAUCCUUUAAGAAGCUAUCGUAGCAAACCAAAAAAUACAAAAUUGUGACCCAGAGGAUGUACAGUGACUUCUGGCUUUCUAGGGUGCUGUGGCUUUUGAGUUCUGAUGACGACAAAAAUAUUUUGGCAGAGACUCCAUCUCAAAAAACAAAAAACAACAACAAAAAAAACGUGAACGUCAGCAUCCUCUGGGGCUCCCAGGACGCCGUGACUUCCUGGCCGCGGUGCUUACCAGGGUGGCUGAAGCCAGCGCAUGAUGGCCCGACUGCUCCAAGGAGACAUCAGCCCUGCCCAGGCGUGCUUGGUGAGGAGCACUGGAGAAGGGCAAAUGACUUCUCUUGAAAAGACUGAGAUCCACACAGCAGAGAAGGUGAAUGAACAAGCAGCUUACCUGGCCACACCACCGUAAUCCAAACCUUCUUCCCCACGGAAUUUCACCAUCAGCCGUUUUUUCAAGUCUUUCGGUCGCAUCUUCAUUAUCUGGCGGGUCUGGGCAGUGGCCCUGAACUCUCUACCUCGAAGAUUUCUUCUCUGGACACUUCGAUGCGGCAAUGACCAGCUUGGGGCUGCUGAAGCGACAGUUCAUGUCUGAGGACUUUCAGCUUCUGGACUAGAUCUCUUUCGUAUCUCUGGGCAGGAAGCUCCUCGUCCUCCAGAGAGCCCUCGCUGGGCAGUGGCAGCGGCUGGCUGGGCUCCUUGAGUUGGCACUGGUGACUUGAGAAGAAGAGAUGCAGAAAGUCACUCCGAAGCCCCGGCCAGGGGAGCUGCAAGCACCCACGUACGCGACAGGGUCAGAGGAGAGAGCUAGCUGCACACAACUUCAGGGAGAAUUUGUUUCCCUGAUGACGUAACCAGGUACCUAGCUAGCUGUGUCAAACUUGCUGAUGGCCACAUUAGCCUAAAUAUAUGUCUACAGUACCAUAAAGGAGGUACCCCAGGCCGGGCGUGGUGGCUCAAGCCUGUAAUCCCAGCACUUCGGGAGGCUGAGGUGGGUGGACCACCUGAGGUCAGGAGUUCGAGACCAGCCUGGACAACAUGGUGAAACCCGGUCUCUACUAAAAAUACAAAAAAUUAGCCAGGUGUGGUGGUGGGCACUUAUAAUCCCAGCUACUCAGGAGGCUGAGACAGGGAAAUCGCUUGAACCCGGGAGGCAGAGGUUACAGUGAGCUGAGAUUGCACCACUGCCCUCCAGCCUGGGUGACAGAGCCAGACUCUCUCUCUCAAAAAAAAGGAGGUACCACAAUUCCAAGCAAACACUUAUCUCACACAUUACCACCACAAAUAAAAAUGGAAAUAGCUGUCA